GCCCGAUGGAUCCGUUGGGCGAGGCGGCCUUCUUGGACUGACACUGACACUGAGGUGCGAAAGCGUGGGUAGCAAACAGGAUUAGAUACCCUGGUAGUCCACGCCGUAAACGAUGUCAACUAGCCGUUGGGUCCCUUGAGGACUUAGUGGCGCAGCUAACGCAAUAAGUUGACCGCCUGGGGAGUACGGCCGCAAGGUUAAAACUCAAAUGAAUUGACGGGGGCCCGCACAAGCGGUGGAGCAUGUGGUUUAAUUCGAUGCAACGCGAAGAACCUUACCUACCCUUGACAUCCAGAGGACUUUCCAGAGAUGGAUUGGUGCCUUCGGGAACUCUGAGACAGGUGCUGCAUGGCUGUCGUCAGCUCGUGUUGUGAAAUGUUGGGUUAAGUCCCGUAACGAGCGCAACCCCUAUCCUUAUUUGCCAGCGAGUAAUGUCGGGAACUCUAAGGAGACUGCCGGUGACAAACCGGAGGAAGGUGGGGACGACGUCAAGUCAUCAUGGCCCUUACGGGUAGGGCUACACACGUGCUACAAUGGCAAGUACAAAGGGUUGCAAUACUGCGAAGUGGAGCCAAUCCCAUAAAGCUUGCCUCAGUCCGGAUUGGAGUCUGCAACUCGACUCCAUGAAGUCGGAAUCGCUAGUAAUCGUGGAUCAGAAUGCCACGGUGAAUACGUUCCCGGGCCUUGUACACACCGCCCGUCACACCAUGGGAGUGGACUGCACCAGAAGUGGUUAGCCUAACCUUCGGGAGGGCGAUCACCACGGUGUGGUUCAUGACUGGGGUGAAGUCGUACCAAGGUAACCA
rnacentral:rRNA from 1 species